GACGAAACAAGGCACGCGUGGCUCCGGCCGGCGUUUCCGCAAACAGAAUCGUGGAUGACUGUGUGGUGUUGAUUCAUGAGGUAUUGCUGUCAGUUCAAUUAACCAGAAAUGGAAGGUUCUGCAAAAGCAUCUGUAGAUUCUGAAACAGAAUCUCCUCCAAGUAUUACUGAAACUGCUGCUGCAUCUGGGCAGAGACUUUCUGAAAAUACUCCUAUACACCAGCAAGUAGAUGAUCUUGUAGAACAAAAUUCGAGUUAUGUGCAAGAUUCUCCAUCCAAGAAAAGAAAACUCGAUGCUGAAAUCAUCUUAGAGGAGAAACGCUCUGAGGAUGAUGGAAAUGCUUCAAAGAGAACUAAAUUGGAGAGGGUCGAUGUGUCGGAAGACGAGCCUUCCCCUGGAGGGCUUACCCAGAGAAAGAGAAAACUGCAACCUCAGGAUGUUGGGGAAACUCGGAAAUUUCAGAAGCUGGAGGAAGGACACAGCUCAGCUGUGGCUGCCCACUAUAAUGAGCUUCAGGAAGUUGGCUUGGUGAAGCGUAGUCAAAGUCGCAUUUUUUACCUAAGAAACUUUAAUAAUUGGAUUAAAAGUAUUCUUAUUGGGGAAAUUUUAGAAAAGGUACGGCAAAGAAAAAAUCGUGACAUCACUGUUUUGGACCUGGGAUGUGGCAAAGGUGGAGAUUUGCUCAAGUGGAGGAAGGGGAGAAUUAGCAGGCUAGUGUGUGCUGAUAUUGCUGAUAUUUCUAUGAAACAGUGUCAACAACGUUAUGAAGACAUGAGAUGUCGUCGUGAUAAUGAGUAUAUUUUUAGUGCAGAAUUUAUAACUGCUGACUGUUCAAAGGAACUUUUGGUUGAAAAAUUCCGUGAUCCAGAAAUGUACUUUGACAUCUGCAGCUGUCAGUUUGCUUGCCAUUACUCCUUUGAGUCCUUGGAGCAGGCUGAUACGAUGCUGAGAAAUGCCUGUGGAAGGCUUCACCCUGGCGGCUAUUUUAUUGGUACCACUCCCAAUAGCUUCGAACUGAUAAGACGCCUUGAAGCUUCAGAAACAGAAUCAUUUGGAAAUGAAAUAUACACUGUGAAAUUCCAGAAGAAAGGAAAUUAUCCUUUAUUUGGCUGCAAAUAUGACUUUAACCUGGAAGGUGUUGUGGAUGUCCCUGAAUUCUUGGUCUAUUUUCCAUUGCUAACUGAAAUGGCAAAGAAGUAUAAUAUGAAGCUAAUCUAUAAAAAAACAUUUCUGGAAUUCUAUGAAGAAAAGAUUAAGAACAAUGAAAACAAAAUGCUCUUAAAACGAAUGCAGGCCCUGGAGCCAUACCCUGCAAAUGAGAAUUCUAAACUUGCCUCUGAAAAGGUGGGUGACUACGCACAUGCAGCAGAGUACAUGAAGAACAGUCAAGUCAGGUUGCCUCUGGGAACCUUGAGUAAAUCAGAGUGGGAAGCUACAAGUAUCUACUUGGUUUUUGCCUUUGAGAAGCAGCCCUGAGCACGUCACUUCAGAGCAGCGGCAGACCAUCUCAGAAACAUUUGACAGCUGUUUGUUUAUUUUAAUAGAGAGAAGAAUUCCUCAAAGGGUGGAAUAAUUGAUGGCUAUCCCAAGCAGCAAGAAGAGAAAUGUGGAGUUCCUAGGCCCUUCCCUGAGGACUCAGAGAAAACUGGCCUGGGUCUGAGAUGGGCUCUAGUCGUUAUACCUACUGUCAAAGACAUAGGAGAGUUCCCAUGAUGUCACCCUGCAGAAACAGUUCAAGCAGCUGCCUUUUUCCUUUUGUGUUGUUCUUAUCUCUUGAACCUCCAUCCCUCCACCGCUCCUUGCAGAAGUUCAGUGACUCAGGAUGGAUUCUUGAGGACAAGAAUGGGAAGGUGGCCUUUUCCAUUGUUUCUUUCAACAAAUAAGACUUUGCCCAGCAUUCUUGGAACCUGAAUGUUUAAUUUUGUCACGACUUGUAGUACCUGAUGAGAAAGGUGUGGCUUUUCAUUGCAGCAUCCAGAAAGAGUCACUUCUCUUGGGUUCAGUGAUGAAAAUGGUUCAAAUGAGCUGUUCAGAUACACCCAGGCUUGCCACUCAGUGUAUGCUCAGGUUGUUUCCAACAGGGACUGGAGACAUGGAUCACAGGUUAAGAGUACUUGCAACUUUCAGAGAACUGGAGUUUGGUUCCCAGCACACACAUAAAGUGGUUUAGAACUACCUGUACCUCCAAUUGCAGGGACUUCAGCAUUCUCCUCUAGUCUCUGCUGGCCCCUGCACAUACAUGCAGAUACCUACACAUAAAUAAAAAUCUUUGGCAUGAUGAUCAUGUGGGCCAUUUUUGGGAGUGACACAACCUGAACUGGUAGUUGGCUUGGGGACAGAGCUGCACUGCAGUAGGAUCCAGAAUGCUGACAUGGGGUUGUUUGGGUCUAGCAUUUCCUCAGGGGAACAGGCCAGUGUAUAGUGUUGAUGGAGAGAAGCUGAGGGGUUGUCAUUCCUUCCCCAUCCUUCUGGUAACCUAACCUGUACAGAGAGCCUCAAGCCUGUCAGCUUGCGCACACACCACUUCAGUGUCCCUGAGCACUUUAGAGACCUCUUCUCCGUAAGAGAAGACUGAGUAGAGUCACUGAGUAAUGGACCUGUCUGAUGACUGAAUGGCAGAGAGAUGAUACAGAUUUCUCAAGAACAGAGUCACAUUAACACUUCUACUCUGUAGUGGGCCCUAAGUCCUAUGUUCACAUACUUCCAAGGGUGUAACAGGUAGUCCCUGCAGCUUUGAGUGUUAAUUAAAGUUCCCUUUUGACUGCUAUUUCAUCCAUAACUGCCAUCCAUUUCUAAGUGAAACCCAUUUCAUCUGGCUUGGAAUAUUAUGUGAAUAAAAUUAAAAAUAUACCCUUUGGCUUUCACUUGAUAGUGUUCAUGAGAUUUUUAUUCUCAAUAGGUGUACAUUGUUCGUUCUCAUGAUUGUACAGUAUGUCAUGUAUGAAUAAACAACAUUAUACAGUG